rfam:Salmo salar isolate Sally breed double haploid chromosome ssa20, whole genome shotgun sequence.
UGCAUUCACUACUGUAAGUCGCUCUGGAUAAGAACAUCUGCUAGAUGACUAAAA